AUUGAACGCUGGCGGCAUGCUUUACACAUGCAAGUCGAACGGUAACAGGCCGCAGGGUGCUGACGAGUGGCGAACGGGUGAGUAAUGCAUCGGAACGUGCCCAGUCGUGGGGGAUAACGCAGCGAAAGCUGCGCUAAUACCGCAUACGAUCUAUGGAUGAAAGCGGGGGACCGAAAGGCCUCGCGCGAUUGGAGCGGCCGAUGUCAGAUUAGGUAGUUGGUGGGGUAAAGGCCCACCAAGCCAACGAUCUGUAGCUGGUCUGAGAGGACGACCAGCCACGCUGGGACUGUGACACGGCCCAGACUCCUACGGGAGGCAGCAGUGGGGAAUUUUGGACAAUGGGCGCAAGCCUGAUCCAGCAAUGCCGCGUGCAGUAAGAAGGCCUUCGGGUUGUAAACUGCUUUUGUAUGGAACGAAACGGUCCGGGUUAAUACCCUGGGCUAAUGACGGUACCGUAAGAAUAAGCACCGGCUAACUACGUGCCAGCCGCCGCGGUAACAC
rnacentral:rRNA from 1 species